UCCGGUGACGAUAACGUGGAAUAGGAAGUGCCGUCUGAUGCGAUAACUGACGAUUUUAUAAUCCAAUGUUCUGAGA
ensembl:snoRNA small nucleolar RNA SNORD49